UACGUAGGUGGCAAGCGUUGUCCGGAUUUACUGGGUGUAAAGGGCGUGUAGGCGGGCUUUUAAGUCAGCGGUAAAAAUUCGGGGCUCAACCCCGUCCGGCCGUUGAAACUGGGGGCCUUGAGUGGGCGAGAAGAAGGCGGAAUGCGUGGUGUAGCGGUGAAAUGCAUAGAUAUCACGCAGAACCCCGAUUGCGAAGGCAGCCUUCCGGCGCCCUACUGACGCUGAGGCACGAAAGUGCGGGGAUCGAACAGG
rnacentral:rRNA from 1 species